rnacentral:rRNA from 1 species
AUACGGAGGGUGCGAGCGUUAAUCGGAAUUACUGGGCGUAAAGGGUGCGUAGGCGGCUUGAUAAGUCGGAUGUGAAAGCCCCGGGCUUAACCUGGGAAUUGCAUUCGAUACUGUCAGGCUAGAGUAUGUCAGAGGUUGGCGGAAUUCCUGGUGUAGCGGUGAAAGGCGUAGAUAUCAGGAGGAACACCAGUGGCGAAGGCGGCUAACUGGGGCAAUACUGACGCUGAGGCACGAAAGCGUGGGGAGCAAACAGGAUUAGAAACCCCAGUAGUCC